AUAUUGGAGUGGCUAGAACAGCUGCAUGCAUACAAUGGAGAGACUAAGAGCUAAAUUUGGGCUAAAAGGUAAUAUUCAGUUGGUUGUUAUAUACAAUUUCACUGCUAGUUGGGAGAAAUUCUUACACAAUGUGGCUUUAAAAAAAAAGAAAUGGGA